AGGAACUCACUCCAUCACCUUAGGCUUAAUCAUCCAAGAUUUUAAGUCCAAAGGCUGUGAUGUCUGUUUAUAAACCUGCGUCCAGCUCCACGUUCUUGUCUUGAUCUCGGUAACCACUUUUGAAAUGUUCCAUGACGCUUGGCUAAAAAUACAGUCAUUCCUUGCUUUCCAAAUACUCCACACCACGCAGAUCCAAACACUAGACAGAAAAUGAUUAUCUGCCUUA
rnacentral:lncRNA from 1 species